rnacentral:rRNA from 1 species
UGGGGAAUAUUGCACAAUGGAGGGAACUCUGAUGCAGCGACGCUGCGUGAACGAAGAAGGCUUUCGAGUCGUAAAGUUCUUUUAUAUGGGAAGAUAAUGACGGUACCAUAAGAAAAAGCCUCGGCUAACUACGUGCCAGCAGCCGCGGUAAUACGUAGGGGGCUAGCGUUGUCCGGAAUCACUGGGCGUAAAGGGUUCGCAGGCGGAAAUGCAAGUCAGGUGUAAAAGGCAGUAGCUUAACUACUGUAAGCAUUUGAAACUGCAUAUCUUGAGAAGAGUAGAGGUAAGUGGAAUUUUUAGUGUAGCGGUGAAAUGCGUAGAUAUUAAAAAGAAUACCGGUGGCGAAGGCGAGUUACUGGGAUCAUUCUGACGCUGAGGAACGAAAGCGUGGGUAGCAAACAGG